rnacentral:rRNA from 1 species
UCACCUGUUUAUCAAAAACAUGGCUUAUUGAAAAUAAUUUUAAGUCAAUCUGCUCAAUGAUUUUAAAUUAAAUGGCUGCAGUAUAAAUGACUGUACAAAGGUAGCAUAAUCAAUUGUUUUUUAAUUGAAAACUGGAAUGAAAGAAUUAAUGAGAUAUAUACUGUCUCAUAUAUAUUUGAUGAAUUUAAAUUUUUAGUAAAAAUGCUUAAAUAAUUUUAUGGGACGAUAAGACCCUAUAGAAUUUUAUAUUAAUAUUUUAUUAAUUAUUUAAUUAAAAUAUUAAUAUUUAAUUGGGAGGAUUAAUAAAUUUAAAAAACUUUAUUUUAAAAAUAAACUUUGAUUUUAGAAUUAAUUUUUGAUCUUUUAUUAUAAAUCAAAAGAAUAAAUUACCUUAGGGAUAACAGCGUAAUAUCUUUUUAAAGAUCAUAUUUAAAAAGAUGUUUGCGACCUCGAUGUUGAAUUAAGAUAAAUUUUAAACGGAGAAGUUUAAUAAUUAAGUCUGUUCGACUUUUAAAAUCUUACAUGAUUUGAGUUCAAAUCGACGUAAGUCAGAUUGGUUUCUAUCUAUAA